GCUAGCGGGCAGGCUUAAUACAUGCAAGUCGAGGGGUAACAUGAGAGCUUGCUCUUGAUGACGACCGGCGCACGGGUGAGUAACGCGUACAUAACCUACCUUCAAGAAGGGCAUAGCCCCGGGAAACUGGGAGUAAUACCCUAUAGUAUUACUUUUUUACAGAAGAGAGUAAUUAAAGCUACGGCGCUUGGAGAUGGGUGUGCGUCCCAUUAGCUAGUUGGUACGGUAACGGCGUACCAAGGCGACGAUGGGUAGGGGGCGUGAGAGCGUGAUCCCCCACACGGGUACUGAGACACGGACCCGACUCCUACGGGAGGCAGCAGUAAGGAAUAUUGGACAAUGGGCGAAAGCCUGAUCCAGCCAUCCCGCGUGCAGGAUGACUGCCCUAUGGGUUGUAAACUGCUUUUAGAUAGGAAGAAACCCCCUGACGAGUUGGGGGCCUGACGGUACUAUCAGAAUAAGCACCGGCUAACUCCGUGCCAGCAGCCGCGGUAAUACGGAGGGUGCAAGCGUUAUCCGGAAUCACUGGGUUUAAAGGGUGCGUAGGCGGAUAGAUAAGCCAGAGGUGAAAGCCCGCAGCUUAACUGUGGAAUUGCCUUUGAUACUGUUUAUCUUGAAUGAGG
rnacentral:rRNA from 1 species